ACGAAAUCAAACCAUAUUGCCCUAUUCCAGUUCGGUUAUAUUUCGUUAAGUUUUCUCAAAUUGAAAUAUGGCAUUCAUAAACUGUAAAUGACUUUUUAUUAUUUAAAUAGUAACAGAAAAAUUAGUAGUUUAAUAUCAACAAUUUGUGAUUGGCCAUAACAUUCGGCAAACACUUUCCCAUGAAAGCGUGCAUGACGUCUUUUAGUAACACCCAUUCUCGAAAACGGUAGUAAUAUUGUUAUCUUGCUCAAGAUUUCACUUCAUCAUUAUCUUCUUGCUGUGUGGUUCUCUUUCUUGCUGCCUUUGUCUGAGAGAUCUGUUUGUUCAGAUUUUGCAUCACAACAUGGCAGCUAAAUCUAGCGCAGCGACUAAUGUAAGUAAUCAAAGUGGCCAUCCAUUGAAGAUCAAAUGGCUAAUCUCGUUAAGCGAGUGGGGGAGGUUCAGAGGAUGAUCAUUGCGAGCCCCCUUUACUGGGAAUCAAUAGAACUCCUUGCAAAAGACGAGACUUUACGAGGCGUAUUCUAUGCGAUUCCAGAUGGAUGUAAGCUUCAUUUUCUAAAACGAAAGAUAAGAGCCUCCAACGAGAAAGAGGCUGAACCCUUUUAUGAGAAUCAUAAUAAUGACUCCUGGCAUCUCCGGUCUCCUUCCUAUAAACCUCCUUGGUAGAAUUGUAGUUUUUUUUUUCUGUUGUGGAAUAUGUUUCGUGAUCAGUGUUUAUUUCUUGUGCUUGAAUUUGAUGUUGUCUGGAUUAUGAACUUGGCUUUGGUAGAAUGUAAGAACUAUCUCAUUAGUUUUUCUACAAAAAAAAAGAACUAUCUUCAUUGGUGGUUCUUUCAAAUUA